rnacentral:rRNA from 1 species
UACAGAGGUCCCGAGCGUUGUUCGGAUUCACUGGGCGUAAAGGGUGCGUAGGUGGCGAGGUAAGUCGGAUGUGAAAGCUCGGAGCUCAACUCCGAAAUGGCAUUGGAAACUACCUUGCUUGAGGGUUGGAGGGGGGACUGGAAUGCUUGGUGUAGCAGUGAAAUGCGUAGAUAUCAAGCGGAACACCGGUGGCGAAGGCGGGUCUCUGGGCAGUAACUGACGCUGAGGAGCGAAAGCGUGGGGAGCGAACAGG